rnacentral:rRNA from 1 species
GGGCCCGCACAAGCAGUGGAGCAUGUGGUUUAAUUCGAUGCAACGCGAAGAACCUUACCAGGCCUUGACAUCCUCGGAACUUUCUAGAGAUAGAUUGGUGCCUUCGGGAACCGGGUGACAGGUGCUGCAUGGCUGUCGUCAGCUCGUGUCGUGAGAUGUUGGGUUAAGUCCCGUAACGAGCGCAACCCUUGUCCUUAGUUGCCAGCACAUAAUGGUGGGAACUCUAAGGAGACUGCCAGCGCAAGCUGAGAGGAAGGUGGGGAUGACGUCAAAUCAUCACGGCCCUUACGUCCUGGGCUACACACGUGCUACAAUGGCAAGUACAGACGGCCGCUAACCCGCGAGGGGGAGCUAAA